CCUGCAAACAAGGCAGUCCCCCUCGCCUGCAACUCCCCCCGGGGCGGCACUUUAUUUGCAAAGCUGCGUAAUUGGUUUAAGCUUGUGGGGAAAGAAGGAGAGACAGAGGAACCAUAUGAGUCACCGUGCUGAGACAUAAUACUACAGGCACCCAAUAAAUUCGGCGAGAGGCCUGAAUGCGGAUCCACUGAUAUUAACCUCCGCUUGGCAAACAUCAGAAUUAAGUUACAUGUUCGAAACAAACAAAACUCUGGAAUCAGCAGAAGAGAACAACAUAUGAAAGUAUGUCUUGGAAGAAAUAAAAUACAUAAAAGCACUGGAUUAAACCCUUGCUUUCUCAAAUGGUCAAACUACACCCAUGGAAAUUGGGACUGGAAUAUCUUAGAAACAUUAGAAUUGCGUUCUUCCCGUACGCACCCUCCCUCUUUUCCUAAUGGAAG